AUGCUGCAAAUGCAGAAGUACCACACAACUCCAAUGGGAAGGAUGGUGGAGGAGGUGGAUGAGGAUGGCGGCGGCGGCGUCUGCGGUUGCGCCUCGUCCGCAGCUGUGCUGGUGGUGGUCGAUGCGAGAGCCGGAUGGCGUUGGCCAGAAUCAGGCAGGGGCGACAAAGAUUUAGAGGAGAGAGAGAAUGGAGGCGAUGAGCGAUGGGAGGAAGGGCCACCGGCGAUUGGGGUGGCCUCAGAUCCGCCCUCCGUGGCCGCCUAUUUCAUGGGACGAACACCCGUGCUCACCGUCGGGCUCGCCUUCGGCCGCUGCCUCGCCGACAUUCACGACGUAGAGCCCCUUCCUCCGAUCCCAUUUGCCAGGGAGGCAGCGCCAUCCUUCAUCGCAGAGAACGAGUCCACACUGAGAUCCCAACCAGAUCGUGAUUGCGCCUCCCCAAACCACAGCGGCACAUCCCACUCCAUCAACGACCAACCUAUAUGA
rnacentral:rRNA from 1 species